rnacentral:rRNA from 1 species
AGCGGCGGACGGGUGAGUAACGCGUGGGCAACCUGCCUUGCACAGGGGGAUAACACAGGGAAACUUGUGCUAAUACCGCAUAACAUCAUGGGGAGGCAUCUUCCUGUGAUCAAAGGAGAAAUCCGGUGCAAGAUGGGCCCGCGUCCGAUUAGCUAGUUGGCGGGGUAACGGCUCACCAAGGCGACGAUCGGUAGCCGAACUGAGAGGUUGAUCGGCCACAUUGGGACUGAGACACGGCCCAGACUCCUACGGGAGGCAGCAGUGGGGAAUAUUGCGCAAUGGGGGAAACCCUGACGCAGCAACGCCGCGUGAAGGAAGAAGGCCUUCGGGUUGUAAACUUCUUUGAUUGGGGACGAAGAAAGUGACUGUACCCAAAAAACAAGCCACGGCUAACUACGUGCCAGCAGCCGCGGUAAUACGUAGGUGGCAAGCGUUGUCCGGAAUUACUGGGUGUAAAGGGCGUGUAGGCGGGGAUGCAAGUCAGAUGUGAAAUUCCGGGGCUUAACCCCGGCGCUGCAUCUGAAACUGUAUCUCUUGAGUGCUGGAGAGGAAAGCGGAAUU